AAUAUGAAAAUAUUUUUACUCUGUUUACUUAUUCAAAAAUUUGUCAGUUGCAAAUCGUUCUUUUAUUAUAUAUACCGUCGAUCAGUCACAUGGCCGAUUUCAGUUUUCACUAUCACUGGAAAUAACAACAAAAGUUAGCAAUUAAAUAAAUAAAUAACCUUUAUUCAAACAGUGAAUAAGUAUAUUUACCUUUUACAACGACCUGUUUGUUUCCGCUGGUUAUUAGACAGCUGUCACCAACUCAGGCUGUCAUUUGUAAUGUAUACUUAACUUAACUAGCCUUUAAAUAGCAGAAGUAAAUUAUCGCGGUGGUGUAUGUAUACACUGUAGUGAGAAGACUGCAUUGUUAUCCGACCAUUAAUAUUUCAUUUCCUCGUUCAUUAUCGAAAUUACUAUUUUAAGCAGUUUUUCAUAAGGAUAAUCAUUACAUUUAUUUUUCGUUUCAAAUUUAUUUCAACAUACUUACAAUAUAAAAAAGAAUAUGCAUAUUGUUUCACAAUUUUUUUUCUGUAUCUAUGUUAUACUUGGACGGUAGUUAAAAGACACGCGAAAAAUUAUCGUUAAAACUGAAUUAGUAUCAGAAGAAUUAAAUAAUAUUUAAAAUUACAUGCUUAAAAUAACCGAGAUAUUAUAAUGGAGCAAUGAGUUGGAAAAUAGUGAUUGCAUACCUAUAUAGUGACCACAGAAACUUAUCAGAAUGAAACGAGCGACAAUCGAAAGUAGUAAACAUGCACCAGAGUGGAAUGUUACCCAGUUCAACGUUUAUAAUUUUAUCAGGACACCACAUCUGUUUUAAAUGCUAUUAUGAAACCGUUCAGGUUAUCUCGGAGGAAAGAAAAGAAUAGAGCGAUAUCUAAAGUGGCAGCAUUGAUCGUGGGUUCUCUCAGCGGUAAGGAACAAACGUUUAUGAAGAAAGACAAUGAUAAUGAUAAGAAAGAGCUAGAGAGAUUUUAGCUUCCUUGCUACCAACACGGUAGCUUGUUCCAAUCUACAUCUCUCGAAAGCAAGUUUCUUCGUCCUCUGUCACCUCGCUAGAAUAAUUAUUUUCGUGUUUUUUGGCUCCGAAAACUUAGUGAUUGCCAUCGCCGACUCGUUUUAAACAACGUUUUUCAUUCCCAAGGACAAUUGUUUCGUUGAGUGUGAUUUCUCCAAGCAAUAACACGAUUCGCUUAUUGAUAUCAUGGAUAUUAAAGUACUAAUUUUAAUGUUUCUGGUAAUCAUUGUUGCAGUGAGUGUUGAAGGGAGGCACAAGAAGAAGAAGAAAGAAUGUACAAAAUUGGCAGCAAAUAGUAAUGCCACAAUUGAUUUUGAUUAUCUAGUGUUAACAAUAUCUUGGCUGCCUACGGCUGUUACGUCUUGCAUACAGCCCGUCCUAAGUCGUCUUGUAAAAACCUAGUUAUAAAUAAUCAAUUGUCUAUUCACGGGCUGUGGCCUUUGUUGAUUGUCGGAAAAUCUCCAGAAAGUUGCAACUGUUCAACAAAAUUUAAUAGCAAUGAAAUAAAGACUCUGAUUUCUGAGCUUAAUGCUAAAUGGACCAACAUAGAAAAAGGAAGUGGAGAAAAUUUUUGGCAACAUGAAUACGAAAAACACGGCUCUUGUGCCAGCUCAAUUGAAGCUUUGAACACUCAAUACAAAUAUUUUGAUCAAGGGCUCAAGCUUUUUGAAAAAUAUAACAUCAAAGUCAAAUUCUCAACAAUAGUAGCAUCAAUGUAGGGAGCAGUUAUAGAGAAGCGGAUAUUAUUGAAGGUUUUAGAAAACAGUUGGGAAAACAGAUAAUUGUUAGAUGCAAGAAUUCAUCAAGCUUGGAGGUUUUCAAAAAUAAAAUUUUUGAUUAUUUAUUUAAUUUAGAUGUUUGAUCAUAAACUGUUGUAAAUGCUUCUAUCAUUAUUUUAUUAAUCUUCAAACUUCGUUAACCUUCUUUAUAUAGCUUCUUUUUAAUUUAAAGUUUCCUACCUGUCUCUUUAGUAACAUCAAAGAUUCUUAAA
rnacentral:lncRNA from 1 species